rnacentral:rRNA from 1 species
UGGGGAAUUUUGGACAAUGGGCGAAAGCCUGAUCCAGCAAUGCCGCGUGUGUGAAGAAGGCCUUCGGGUUGUAAAGCACUUUUGUCCGGAAAGAAAUCCUUGGCUCUAAUACAGUCGGGGGAUGACGGUACCGGAAGAAUAAGCACCGGCUAACUACGUGCCAGCAGCCGCGGUAAUACGUAGGGUGCAAGCGUUAAUCGGAAUUACUGGGCGUAAAGCGUGCGCAGGCGGUUUGCUAAGACCGAUGUGAAAUCCCCGGGCUCAACCUGGGAACUGCAUUGGUGACUGGCAGGCUAGAGUAUGGCAGAGGGGGGUAGAAUUCCACGUGUAGCAGUGAAAAUGCGUAGAGAUGUGGAGGAAUACCGAUGGCGAAGGCAGCCCCCUGGGCCAAUACUGACGCUCAUGCACGAAAGCGUGGGGAGCAAACAGGAUUAGAUACCCUGGUAGUCCACGCCCUAAACGAUGUCAACUAGUUGUUGGGGGAUUCAUUUCCUUAGUAACGUAGCUAACGCGUGAAGUUGACCGCCUGGGGAGUACGGUCGCAAGAUUAAAAACUCAAAGGAAUUGAC